AUUGAACGCUGGCGGCAUGCUUUACACAUGCAAGUCGAACGGCCGCGCGGGCUUCGUCCUGGCCGCGCGUGGCCAACGGGUGAGUAAUUCAUCCGAACGUGCCCAGCCUUUGGGGCUCGCCUGGCGUCAGCCGGAUUAAUCUCGUAUCCGACCUUAUGUUGAAACUCGUGGAUCGAAAGUUAUAGCCCUUUUUUCUGUCCCUAUGGCGUAUUUGCUCGUCGGUGUGGGAAAUGCUUACCAAGGCGACGUUCCGUAGCUGGUCUGAGUGGCCGACCAGCCACACGGGGACUGAGACACGGCCCAGACGCCUACGGGAGGAAGCAGGGGGGAAUUUUGGACAAUGGGGGCAAGCCUGAUCGAGCAAUGCCGCGUGAGGGAAGAAGGCCUUCGGAUUGUAAACCGCUUUUGUUCGGGAAGAAAAACUCUGGGCGAAUACACCGGGGGGAUGACGGUACCGAAAGAAUAAGCACCGGCUAACUACGUG
rnacentral:rRNA from 1 species